rnacentral:rRNA from 1 species
GGCGAGAUACUUAACGCCUUAGCUACGAUACUGCACGGGUUAAUACGUGCAACAUCUAGUAUCCAUCGUUUACGGCUAGGACUACUGGGGUAUCUAAUCCCAUUUGCUCCCCUAGCUGUCGUCUCUCAGUGUCAGUUAUGGCCCAGUAGAGUGCCUUCGCCAUUGGUGUUCUUCCUAAUAUCUACGCAUUUCACCGCUACACUAGGAAUUCCCUCUACCUCUACCACACUCAAGUCUAGCAGUUUCCACUGCUUUUCUGGGGUUGAGCCCCAGUCUUUAACAGCAGACUUACCAAACAACCUACAGACGCUUUAUGCCCAGUGAUUCCGGAUAACGCUUGCAUCCUCUGUAUUACCGCGGCUGCUGGCACAGAGUUAGCCGAUGCUUAUUCCUCAAGUACCGUCAGAACUUCUUCCUUGAGAAAAGAGGUUUACAACCCACAGGCCGUCAUCCCUCACGCGGUAUUGCUCCGUCAGGCUUUCGCCCAUUGCGGAAAAUUCCCUACUGCUGCCUCCCGUAGGAGUCUGGGCCGUGUCUCAGUCCCAGUGUGGCUGAUCAUCCUCUCAAACCAGCUACUGAUCGUCGCCUUGGUAAGCCUUUACCUUACCAACUAGCUAAUUAGACGCGAGCUCCUCCUUAGGCAGAUAAAUCCUUUCACCUCUCGGCGUAUGGAGUAUUAGCAACCGUUUCCAGCUGUUAUCCUCCUCCUAAGGGCAGAUUCUCACGUGUUACUCACCCGUCCGCCACUAGAGCUAAAAGCCCUCGUACGACUUGCAUGUAUUAAGCAUACCGCCAGCGUUCAUCCUGAGCCAGGAUCAAACUCU